rnacentral:rRNA from 1 species
AGGUUAAGUGAAUAAGGGCGCACGGUGGAUGCCUUGGCACUAGGAGCCGAUGAAGGACGGGACUAACGCCGAUAUGCUUUGGGGAGCUGUAAGUAAGCUAUGAUCCAGAGAUUUCCGAAUGGGGGAACCCAACAUCUUUGAUAGGAUGUUACGAAUAGGUGAAUUCAUAGCCUACUCGAGGUAGACGCAGAGAACUGAAACAUCUAAGUACCUGCAGGAAGAGAAAGAAAAUUCGAUUCCCUGAGUAGCGGCGAGCGAAACGGGAAAAGCCCAAACCAAGAGGCUUGCCUCUUGGGGUUGUAGGACUCCGAUCUGGUAGUUUUUUCAGAUAGCCGAAAUACCUGGAAAGGUAUGUCAAAGAGGGUAAAAACCCCGUAGGCGAAAUUUGGAAGACACCUAGGAGGAUCCUGAGUACGGCGGAACACGAGGAAUUCCGUCGGAAUCCGGGAGGACCAUCUCCCAAGGCUAAAUACUCCCUAGUGACCGAUAGUGAACCAGUACCGUGAGGGAAAGGUGAAAAGCACCCCGGAAGGGGAGUGAAAUAGAUCCUGAAACCGUGUGCCUACAACAAGUUAGAGCCCGUUAAUGGGUGAUAGCGUGCCUUUUGUAGAAUGAACCGGCGAGUUACGAUUGCAUGCGAGGUUAAGUUGAAGAGACGGAGCCGUAGCGAAAGCGAGUCUGAAUAGGGCGAAUGAGUAUGUAGUCGUAGACCCGAAACCAUGUGAUCUACCCAUGUCCAGGUUGAAGGUGCGGUAAAACGCACUGGAGGACCGAACCCACGUACGUUGAAAAGUGCGGGGAUGAGGUGUGGGUAGCGGAGAAAUUCCAAUCGAACUUGGAGAUAGCUGGUUCUCUCCGAAAUAGCUUUAGGGCUAGCGUCGAAGUUGAGAAUGAUGGAGGUAGAGCACUGUUUGGACUAGGGGCCCAUCUCGGGUUACCGAAUUCAGAUAAACUCCGAAUGCCAUUCAUUCAUAUUCGGCAGUCAGACUGUGAGUGAUAAGAUCCAUAGUCGAAAGGGAAACAGCCCAGACCACCAGCUAAGGUCCCCAAAUAUAUGUUAAGUGGAAAAGGAUGUGGGGUUGCACAGACAACUAGGAUGUUGGCUCAGAAGCAGCCAUCAUUUAAAGAGUGCGUAAUAGCUCACUAGUCGAGUGACCCUGCGCCGAAAAUGUACCGGGGCUAAACAUAUUACCGAAGCUGUGGAUUGUACCUUUGGUACAAUGGUAGGAGAGCGUUCUAAGGGCGUUGAAGGUAGAUCGUGAGGACUGCUGGAGCGCUUAGAAGUGAGAAUGCCGGUAUGAGUAGCGAAAGACAGGUGAGAAUCCUGUCCACCGAAUGACUAAGGUUUCCUGGGGAAGGCUCGUCCGCCCAGGGUUAGUCGGGACCUAAGCCGAGGCCGAUAGGCGUAGGCGAUGGACAACAGGUUGAUAUUCCUGUACCCGUUCGCUUUGUUUGAGCAAUGGAGGGACGCAGGAGGCUAAGAAGUGCAGACUGAUGGAUAUGUCUGUUCAAGCAGUAAGUCUUGUGAUGAGUCAAAUGCUUAUCACUGUACGGACAAGCUGUGAUGAGGAGGGAACUAAUAGUACCGAAGCUUCUGAUGUCACACUGCCAAGAAAAGCUUCUAGUGAGAAACGAACGGCCCGUACCGCAAACCGACACAGGUAGUCGAGGAGAGAAUCCUAAGGUGUGCGAGAGAACUCUCGUUAAGGAACUCGGCAAAAUGACCCCGUAACUUCGGGAGAAGGGGUGCUGCUCGUAAGAGCAGCCGCAGUGAAUAGGCCCAAGCGACUGUUUAUCAAAAACACAGGUCUCUGCAAAAUCGAAAGAUGACGUAUAGGGGCUGACGCCUGCCCGGUGCUGGAAGGUUAAGAGGAGUGCUUAGCGCAAGCGAAGGUACGAAUUGAAGCCCCAGUAAACGGCGGCCGUAACUAUAACGGUCCUAAGGUAGCGAAAUUCCUUGUCGGGUAAGUUCCGACCCGCACGAAAGGCGUAACGAUUUGGGCACUGUCUCAACGAGAGACUCGGUGAAAUUUUAGUACCUGUGAAGAUGCAGGUUACCCGCGACAGGACGGAAAGACCCCAUGGAGCUUUACUGUAGUUUGAUAUUGAGUGUCUGUACCGCAUGUACAGGAUAGGUAGGAGCCGUAGAAGUCGGGACGCUAGUUUCGACGGAGGCGCUGGUGGGAUACUACCCUUGCGUUAUGGCCACUCUAACCCGCAGCCCUGAUCGGGCUGGGAGACAGUGUCAGAUGGGCAGUUUGACUGGGGCGGUCGCCUCCUAAAAGGUAACGGAGGCGCCCAAAGGUUCCCUCAGAAUGGUUGGAAAUCAUUCGCAGAGUGUAAAGGCAGAAGGGAGCUUGACUGCGAGACUUACAAGUCGAGCAGGGACGAAAGUCGGGCUUAGUGAUCCGGUGGUUCCGCAUGGAAGGGCCAUCGCUCAACGGAUAAAAGCUACCCUGGGGAUAACAGGCUUAUCUCCCCCAAGAGUCCACAUCGACGGGGAGGUUUGGCACCUCGAUGUCGGCUCGUCGCAUCCUGGGGCUGUAGUCGGUCCCAAGGGUUGGGCUGUUCGCCCAUUAAAGCGGCACGCGAGCUGGGUUCAGAACGUCGUGAGACAGUUCGGUCCCUAUCCGUCGCGGGCGUUGGAAAUUUGAGAGGAGCUGUCCUUAGUACGAGAGGACCGGGAUGGACUUACCGCUGGUGUACCAGUUGUCUCGCCAGAGGCAUCGCUGGGUAGCUAUGUAGGGAAGGGAUAAACGCUGAAAGCAUCUAAGUGUGAAGCCCACCUCAAGAUGAGAUUUCCCAUUCUUUUAAAGAAGUAAGAUCCCUGAGAGAUGAUCAGGUAGAUAGGUCAGAAGUGGAAGGCCAGUGAUGGUUGGAGCGGACUGAUACUAAUCGAUCGAGGACUUAACCAAAA